AGCGCACACGGUGGAUGCCUUGGCGGUCAGAGGCGAUGAAGGACGUGGCAGCCUGCGAAAAGUAUCGGGGAGCUGGCAACAAGCUUUGAUCCGGUAAUGUCCGAAUGGGGAAACCCACCCGCUUGCGGGUAUCCUGCAGUGAAUACAUAGCUGCUGGAAGCGAACCUGGUGAACUGAAAUAUCUAAGUAACCAGAGGAAAAGAAAUCAACCGAGAUUCCGUAAGUAGCGACGAGCGAACGCGGACUAGCCCUUAAGCUGGAUUGGUUCUAGGAAAACGCUCUGGAAAGAGCGGCCAUAGAAGGUGAUAGCCCUGUAUCUGAAAGGGCCAUUCCAGUGAAGACGAGUAGGGCGGGGCACGUGAAACCCUGUCUGAACAUGGGGGGACCAUCCUCCAAGGCUAAAUACUACUGACCGACCGAUAGUGAACCAGUACCGUGAGGGAAAGGCGAAAAGAACCCCGGAGAGGGGAGUGAAAUAGAACCUGAAACCGUGUGCGUACAAGCAGUAGGAGCUCCGCAAGGAGUGACUGCGUACCUUUUGUAUAAUGGGUCAGCGACUUACUGUUCGUGGCAAGCUUAACCGUAUAGGGGAGGCGAAGGGAAACCGAGUCUGAUAAGGGCGCAUAGUCGCGGGCAGUAGACCCGAAACCGGGUGAUCUAGUCAUGCCCAGGGUGAAGGUGCGGUAACACGCACUGGAGGCCCGAACCCACUCCCGUUGCAAAGGUAGGGGAUGAGGUGUGAUUAGGAGUGAAAAGCUAAUCGAACCCGGAGAUAGCUGGUUCUCCUCGAAAGCUAUUUAGGUAGCGCCUCAUAUGUAUCCUCUCGGGGGUAGAGCACUGUUAUGGCUAGGGGGUCAUCGCGACUUACCAAACCAUUGCAAACUCCGAAUACCGAGACGGACUGUAUGGGAGACACACGGCGGGUGCUAACGUCCGUCGUGAAAAGGGAAACAACCCAGACCCACAGCUAAGGUCCCAAAUUCACUGCUAAGUGGAAAACCAUGUGGAAAGGCACAGACAGCCAGGAGGUUGGCUUAGAAGCAGCCACCCUUUAAAGAAAGCGUAAUAGCUCACUGGUCGAGUCGGUCUGCGGGGAAGAUUUAACGGGGCUAAGCAGUGAACCGAAGCUUGGGGUGCAUAACUUUGUUAUGCGCGGUAGAGGAGCGUUCCGUAAGCCGUUGAAGGUGGAUUGAGAAGUCUGCUGGAGGUAUCGGAAGUGCGAAUGCUGACAUGAGUAACGAUAAUGCGGGUGAAAAACCCGCACGCCGAAAGCCCAAGGUUUCCUUGCGCAACGUUAAUCGGCGCAGGGUGAGUCGGCCCCUAAGGCGAGGACGAAAGUCGUAGUCGAUGGGAAGCAGGUUAAUAUUCCUGCACCUCGCGUAAGUGCGAUGGAGGGACGGAGAAGGUUAGGUGUACCAGGCGUUGGUUGUCCUGGGGAAAGGCGGUAGGUUUGGAUCUUUGGCAAAUCCGGGAUCCUUUAAGACCGAGCACCGAGACGAGCCUUUAUGGCGAAGUCACUGAUACCACGCUUCCAGGAAAAGCUCCUAAGCUUCAGCUUACGCAGACCGUACCGUAAACCGACACAGGUGGGUAGGAUGAGAAUUCUCAGGCGCUUGAGAGAACUCGGGUGAAGGAACUAGGCAACAUGGCACCGUAACUUCGGGAGAAGGUGCACCCUUUUUGGUGGCUCGUGCGAGCUAUAGCUGAAGAGGGUCGCAGUAACCAGGCCGCUGCGACUGUUUAUCAAAAACACAGCACUCUGCAAACACGAAAGUGGACGUAUAGGGUGUGACGCCUGCCCGGUGCUGGAAGGUUAAUUGAUGGGGUCAGCCGCAAGGCGAAGCUCUUGAUCGAAGCCCCAGUAAACGGCGGCCGUAACUAUAACGGUCCUAAGGUAGCGAAAUUCCUUGUCGGGUAAGUUCCGACCUGCACGAAUGGCGUAACGACAGCGGCGCUGUCUCCACCCGAGACUCAGUGAAAUUGAAAUCGCUGUGAAGAUGCAGCGUUCCCGUGGCAAGACGGAAAGACCCCGUGAACCUUUACUAUAGCUUUACACUGAACGUUGAGUUCGUCUGUGUAGGAUAGGUGGGAGGCUAUGAAACCAUGGCGCUAGCUGUGGCGGAGCCAUCCUUGAAAUACCACCCUGUCGUGCUUGACGUUCUAACCUGGGCCCAUUAUCUGGGUCGGGGACCGUGUAUGGUGGGUAGUUUGACUGGGGCGGUCUCCUCCUAAAGAGUAACGGAGGAGCUCGAAGGUACGCUCAGCGCGGUCGGACAUCGCGCACUGUGUGCAAAGGCAUAAGCGUGCUUGACUGCAAGAUCGACGGAUCAAGCAGGUAGGAAACUAGGACUUAGUGAUCCGGUGGUUCUGUAUGGAAGGGCCAUCGCUCAACGGAUAAAAGGUACUCCGGGGAUAACAGGCUGAUACCGCCCAAGAGUUCAUAUCGACGGCGGUGUUUGGCACCUCGAUGUCGGCUCAUCACAUCCUGGGGCUGUAGUCGGUCCCAAGGGUAUGGCUGUUCGCCAUUUAAAGUGGUACGCGAGCUGGGUUCAGAACGUCGUGAGACAGUUCGGUCCCUAUCUGCCAUGGGCGUUGGAGAUUUGAGAGGGGCUGCUCCUAGUACGAGAGGACCGGAGUGGACGAACCUCUGGUGUUCCGGUUGUCACGCCAGUGGCAUUGCCGGGUAGCUAUGUUCGGAAGCGAUAACCGCUGAAAGCAUCUAAGCGGGAAGCGCGCCUCAAGAUGAGAUCUCCCGGGGCACAAGCCCCCUGAAGGAACCAUGUAGACUACGUGGUUGAUAGGUCAGGUGUGUAAGUACAGCAAUGUAUUGAGCUAACUGAUACUAAUGAUCCGUGCGGCUUGACC
rnacentral:rRNA from 2 species